CGCUGGGGGAGUCCUUCUUCCGGUGGUGUUCAUUAAAGACUUUCCCCCCUCAGGUUCUUUUGGAUAAAGCAGGUGACCCAUCCCUGCAGCAGCAGCUACUUCGGGGAUACGAUAUGCUAAUGAAUCCUCAGAAGAUGGGAGAGAGAUUUCACUUCUUUGCCUUGCUGCCUCAUCAGAGACUUCAUGUGGGAAGUCAAGGAGGGAAGGCCUGCCAGUCAGAAGCCCCCUCGACCUCUGUACCUGGGUUUGAUGAACUGGUUUGGCACUGAUAUUUCAGCUGCCUUGAUUAUCAGAAUAAAAGAAAUUCACUUUGC
rnacentral:lncRNA from 1 species